UACGAAGGGUGCAAGCGUUACUCGGAAUUACUGGGCGUAAAGCGUGCGUAGGUGGUUUGUUAAGUCUGUUGUGAAAGCCCCGGGCUCAACUUGGGAAUGGCAAUGGAUACUGGCAGGCUAGAGUGCGGUAGAGGGUAGUGGAAUUCCCGGUGUAGCGGUGAAAUGCGUAGAGAUCGGGAGGAACACCAGUGGCGAAGGCGGCUACCUGGACCAGCACUGACACUGAGGCACGAAAGCGUGGGGAGCAAACAGG
rnacentral:rRNA from 1 species